UGGGGAAUCUUGCACAAUGGGCGAAAGCCUGAUGCAGCGACGCCGCGUGGGGGAUGAAGCUUUUCGGAGUGUAAACCCCUUUCGACCCGGACGAAUGUCCCGCAAGGGAACUGACGGUACGGGUAUAAGAAGCCCCGGCUAACUACGUGCCAGCAGCCGCGGUAAGACGUGGGGGGGCCAGCGUUGCUCGGAAUUACUGGGUGUAAAGGGUUCGUAGGCGGUGUAGCAAGUCGGGAGUGAAAUCUCUGGGCUCAACCCAGAGACUGCUUCCGAAACUGCUGUGCUUGAGUGUGGGAGAGGCGCGUGGAAUUGCAGGUGUAGCGGUGAAAUGCGUAGAUAUCUGCAGGAACACCCGUGGCGAAAGCGGCGCGCUGGACCACUACUGACGCUGAGGAACGAAAGCUAGGGGAGCAAACAGGAUUAGAUACCCUGGUAGCCCUAGCCCUAAACGAUCAGGACUUGGGGUGCCGCACGUUCGUGCGUCGUCCCGGAGCUAACGCGUUAAG
rnacentral:rRNA from 1 species